CGUAGGGUGCGAACGUUAAUCGGAAUUACUGGGCGUAAAGUGUGCGCAGGCGGCCGAGCAAGUCGAGUGUGAAAGCCCUGGGCUUAACCUGGGAAUUGCGCUCGAAACUACUUGGCUAGAGUGUGGCAGAGGGGGGUGGAAUUCCACGUGUAGCGGUGAAAUGCGUAGAGAUGUGGAGGAACACCAAUGGCGAAGGCAGCCCCCUGGGCCAACACUGACGCUCAUGCACGAAAGCGUGGGGAGCAAACAGGAUUAGAUACCCUGGUAGUCCACGCCCUAAACGAUGAUGACUAGUUGUUGGGGGAGUUAAAUCCCUUAGUAACGCAGCUAACGCGCGAAGUCAUCCGCCUGGGGAGUACGGUCGCAAGAUUA
rnacentral:rRNA from 1 species